UCCCUGUGCAUCAACUAGCAACACCCUGGCACUAGGACCCCGCAGAGAGAGAACCCUGAGCCUGCGCUCUAAAGAGAGAGAUGCACCAUUUCACAACUUCAGCAAAAGCCAAAGCAGCCAACAAAGCCACAGCUAACUCAGCUACUGCUGGGCUUUGCCUUCUGGGCAGCUCGCCGGCCACUCCCCAGAAGCAGCGCAUUCUGUCCUUUCUCUUUAUAAAUCCACGUCAUUGUCUGAUCAUAAUGGAAAUCGAUCUCCAGUCACCACCAAAGGCGUAUCCAUGGCAACCUCAAGAGGAAGGACACAGAAAUGAUGCUCCAGUGGCUGCUACAGGAAACGACUCCAGCCCCUCAAGGUCCAGAAAAUGGAAAUUAAGUCUAAAUCUCUGCCUUCUCUGAUGCUUCAGGGGAAUGCCAUUUUUGUAGAGGGCCAAUCUCUCCACCUUCCUCUGAGGACCUCAUUUAGCAAUCAUCCUUUCUCUUGUGCCUUCAAUUGCACCCUCUCUUCUGGCUCUCUACACAUCAGAUGACCCACGCUUAAGAGUCUUCCAUUCCAGGAAAAACUGUCUUCAGUCUCUGCUACCUCCCCCUCAAGCUGCCACCAUCUUUCUUCCUUCCUUCCCUGCCAAACUACUCACAGGUAAAAGGACCACAAAGAGACGUCUAGACAUCAGAGUGCAGAUAUGGGACAACAUAUCUGGCUUUGGGGGUGAGAGGGGCCCAGUCUCUGCUUCAGUGAAUCCCUCAGGGGAUAUGUAGGAACAUGGGGAGGUCAAACUGGACACCCAAUCUGCCCAUCCACUAGGUGCUACUCAUACUAGCCUGAACUUCAAAAGAAAAAUUAUAUAAAGCCAAAUCCAGAGUCUCCAAGAUGGCAAGGACCCUGAGAUAGGUCUGAAUCAGUCAACUGCUCAACACUUACCUCCUAAGGGGACACUGAAGAUGCAGUUCUCACUUCCCUUGAUAAGGGACAGAUAGAUAACCCAAGUCCCCACAGCACCACCAAGUAGCCAUCAACAGGCCAGGCAACUUAGGAAUCCUCUAUUAUGAUCCCUCCCAACCUGUACCUCCAGGCAGCCACUAGCAAUGAUAGAGAUAGCAGAGUAAAACCUAGAGUGGCAGCUGUCAAUGGUAUUAUGAUUCUCCCCACUAUUCUGACUCCUCCCUAACAAGUUCUUUGUACCCACAUGUCAGUCUGGCUCAACUUAUCAAUUCUUCUCCACAUUGCCUCCUGCAUCCUCCAUUUUCCUCCAUUACCACUGUUACCACUUUGGACUGCCAUUUAAUAGCUUUGAGAAUUUAAGGCAAAUCAUUUACCAUCUUUGGUGCCUCAUCCAUAAAACAGGGUAACAGCUGCUCUGUCUACCUCACAGGAUUAUUAAAUCAAAUGAGAUCAUGCCAGUGAAAGGUCCUGCCUGUAAUGUGUAAAAUGUUAUACAUAAAUAUAAGACAUUACUAUUAUCAUCAAUCUAAGGCCUCUAUUAUUGAUAUGGGCAGCACAUCUGGCUCCCUGCCUCCAUUCGUCCCCAUUUCCAACCACAUUAUACACCACAGUAAGACAUUUAUAUGCUCUAAAAUAUUUCUUUGCCCGUAUACACACCUGCCCAAAAUAUUUCACUGAUACACCAUUUCUUACUUUAAACAAUCCUAGACCUGACAUAUGCAGUGUCACCUCUGCAUCACUGUCAGCUGCUUAGGAUGCUUUCCCUAGUCCUGCAAACCCCACCCAUCCUUCAAAGUCCAACUGCAGCCCCACUACACUCCAUGAAGAGAGACUAAAUUUAAAAGCGAGAGAUCUAAAACAAUUUCAUGAAAGAAUUAAGGACUAUUCAGUUUGGAGAAAACUUGGUAGGAACAUUUGCCAUCUAAUACUUUAAGAGUCACCCUUUUAAAGAGGGAUUACACUUUCUUUUCUCUAUGACUCUAAAAGGUAAUCUAGGACCACCAGGAUGGAAAUUGCAGAGAUGUUUUCAACAUGAAAUAUUUUCCUCUUGAGCUAUCCCAAGAUGAAAUGGGAUGCCUUAUAUAUUGUAAAUUCCCUAUUAUUAGAAAUAUUCAAGCCCAAACUGGCCAUUUGGCAAGGAUAUUUUAGAUGGAAUUCAACUAUCACAAGAGUUAACUGGACUAGAAAUUAGAUCUGAAAGGAACCAUGGGCCACCAGCAUCACGUAGAACUUGUUAGAACCAACCAGAACAAGUAUUUUAACAAGAUCCCCAGCGGUAUGCACCAUUAAAGUUUGAAAAGCACUGACCUACACUGCCCCUUCCAAACCUUUCAUUGCAAGUCUGGAAUUGUAUUUCCCGAAUUGUUUCAGAAGUUAAACAGAGGCAGCACCCAAGAAAAACUGUUUUUCCCACUCAAAUUUGGGAAACUCUUCAUACAAUACUUCCAGUGGGAAAUUCAUGCUAAAUAUCAUGAGCAUACUGAAGGCUCUCAAAUAGUCUGUAUUAGAAAAAACUUUAACAAUGAAGUUUUUCUAAACAUACUUGAGCACAAAAUGUCUUUUUUUUUUUUAAGUUAUCUCUUUUAACCCGAUGACUCGGCUUUGGCAGUACACUAGGUAAAGGUCAAUCUAGACCUCGUAGUUCCUUGACUCUCAAUACCGUAAGCAUACUGGAUUAGUAAGCGGUCAACAUGGGCUUGCUGCUCUGGUCACUGCAAUAAAUGCGAUAAGUUCCUAAAUCACUGCCUCUUUAAAAACGGGGGAGUUCCUCAUCUGUGUGAUUUAGUUAUGGUUCUGCCUGAAGACAAGAGAGAUGCGCAAGAUGAUGACUUCUCAAGGGCUAUCCUGACAGUUAAGGCCGACCCCUGGAGUGGGAGACACAGCCAUACCAAAUCCAUAUUCCCGACCCCCAAGUUCGAGUCCUUUAUGUUGGUGGCGGUGGUGGUUUUUUUCAUCUGACACAAACUUCUCAACCCUGUGCCCACAUUAAACCUGUGGCUCGGAAUGGGUUCAGGGGUGCCUCGGAGGCUCCCAAGAAAGGAGGCGGACCCUUGCAGUUCCAGAGGAAUUCGGAGGUGCAGUCACUCUGCCAGAACACCGCCAGACAGAAGAGCUCAGGUGCGUCCGACAGGCCCAGCCGUAGGUGGGCGCCCACCCGCGCCGCGGCCCACCCGUGCCGCGCCCCGCUCCGCACACCGGGCUCCGUGCCCCAGGCCAGCACUGAGCCCUCCGUUCAACGCUGGGAACCUCGCGAACUCGCGGGGGUCGGCAGCGGAGACGGUUUGCAGGAUCGCCGC